GCUGGGUGUUGUGGCGGGCACCUGUAGUCCCAGCUACUUGGGAGGCUGAGGCAGGAGACUCGCUUGAGCCCAGGAGUUGGAGGUUGCUGUGAGCUGUGAUGCCAUGGCACUCUACCCAGGGGGAUAGCUUGAGGCUCCAUCUAAAAAAAAAAAGACAUACAAUUUGUAGAACUGUAGCAGAGCAUUUCAAACAAAGGAGUAAAUGACCUUUUUUUUUUUUUUUUGAGUCAGAGCCUCAAGCUGUCACCCUGGGUAGAGUGCUCCACCUCCAACUCCUGGGUUCAAGCGAGUCUCCUGCCUCAG
rnacentral:SRP_RNA from 1 species